UACGUAGGGGGCUAGCGUUGUCCGGAAUCAUUGGGCGUAAAGCGCGUGUAGGCGGUUCGGUAAGUCCGCUGUGAAAGUCGGGGGCUCAACCCUCGGAAGCCGGUGGAUACUGUCGGGCUAGAGUACGGAAGAGGCGAGUGGAAUUCCUGGUGUAGCGGUGAAAUGCGCAGAUAUCAGGAGGAACACCAAUUGCGAAGGCAGCUCGCUGGGACGUUACUGACGCUGAGACGCGAAAGCGUGGGGAGCAAACGGG
rnacentral:rRNA from 1 species